CAGUAGCCGCGGUAAUACGAAGGGGGCUAGCGUUGCUCGGAAUGACUGGGCGUAAAGCGCACGUAGGCGGCUUGGUAAGUUAGAGGUGAAAGCCUGGAGCUCAACUCCAGAAUUGCCUUUAAGACUGCCGAGCUAGCAGGUGAGAGAGGUAAGUGGAAUUCCGAGUGUAGAGGUGAAAUUCGUAGAUAUUCGGAAGAACACCAGUGGCGAAGGCGGCUUACUGGCUCAUACUGGACGCUGAGGUGCGAAAGCGUGGGGAGCAAACAGGAUUAGAUACCCCAGUAGUCCCUGUCUCUUAUAC
rnacentral:rRNA from 1 species